UGGGGAAUCUUGGACAAUGGGCGCAAGCCUGAUCCAGCCAUGCCGCGUGAGUGAUGAAGGCCUUAGGGUUGUAAAGCUCUUUCAGCGGGGAAGAUAAUGACGGUACCCGCAGAAGAAGCCCCGGCUAACUUCGUGCCAGCAGCCGCGGUAAUACGAAGGGGGCUAGCGUUGCUCGGAAUCACUGGGCGUAAAGCGCACGUAGGCGGCUUUCUAAGUCAGGGGUGAAAUCCUGGAGCUCAACUCCAGAACUGCCUUUGAUACUGGAGAGCUUGAGUCCGGAAGAGGUGAGUGGAACUCCGAGUGUAGAGGUGAAAUUCGUAGAUAUUCGGAAGAACACCAGUGGCGAAGGCGGCUCACUGGUCCGGUACUGACGCUGAGGUGCGAAAGCGUGGGGAGCAAACA
rnacentral:rRNA from 1 species